CACAGAUUUAUGGUAAAAAAUGGAGCACCACCUUCAGUCGCCCUUGCCUCACCGUACACCACCACCCUAACACCAUGCCCUUUCUUCCAUACAUCACGUCCAUGAACCACCCGCAACUCAGCUGUGAAGCCAAUUACCUCUGCAAAAAAUAUCGCCAGCUAACUCCAUAGCCACUCCCUUCAACCCAGAACAGAGAGACCCUCACCCAUUUCCAAUACCUGGUGUUGCAGUAGAAACAAAAGCUGAUUGAGUGUCAUAGAUUGUUGAG
rnacentral:misc_RNA from 1 species